UACAGAGGGGGCAAGCGUUGUUCGGAAUUACUGGGCGUAAAGGGCGCGUAGGCGGCCUUCUAAGUCGAACGUGAAAUCCCCGGGCUCAACCCGGGAACUGCGUCCGAUACUGGAAGGCUUGAAUCCGGGAGAGGGAUGCGGAAUUCCGAGGUGUAGCGGUGAAAUGCGUAGAUAUCUGGAGGAACACCGGUGGCGAAGGCGGCAUCCUGGACCGGCAUUGACGCUGACGGCGCGAAAGCCAGGGGAGCAAAGCGGGAU
rnacentral:rRNA from 1 species